rnacentral:lncRNA from 1 species
GUGCUCGGGGACGGAGCCGGCGGUGGGGGAGCCGGGCAUGCCGCCGAAGCCGCUGAACGGGGAGCCGCCGCCGAAGAGGGGCAUGCUGCCGAUGCUGCCGCUGCCGGGCAGGAACCCAGGCAUGCUGCUGCCGCCGCUGCUCCCGGGCAGGCUGAACCCGGGAAUGCUGCUGCCAGGAAUGCUGCUGCCGGUGCCGGGGAGGCCGCCGAACGCCGGGGACGCGCCGCCGCCGAGGCGGUCGAAGGGCGGGAAGGUCUGCGGCUGCACCACCGCGUCGUUGUCCGCCUUCUUCUCCG